GUGUGUGUGUGUGUGUGUGUAUAUAAUGCAGAGUGUGUGUAUAAUGCACUCUGCAUUAUACACACACACACUGCAUUAUAUACACACACUACACAA